AGCCAUGCGAGUCGAGAGGGUUCGGCCCUCGGCGGACUGCUCAGUAACACGUGGAUAAUCUGCCCUUAGGUGGAGGAUAACCUCGGGAAACUGAGAAUAAUACUCCAUAGGUCUAGGAUGCUGGAAUGCAUCUAGACUCAAAGAUUUAUCGCCUAAGGAUGAGUCUGCGGACUAUCAGGUUGUAGUCAGGGUAAUGGCCUGACUAGCCUACGACGGAUACGGGUUGUGAGAGCAAUAACCCGGAGACGAUAUCUGAGACACGAUAUCGGGCCCUACGGGGCGCAGCAGGCGCGAAACCUUCACACUGUGCGAAAGCGCGAUGAGGGAAUCCCAAGUGCUUGCUCUUAGGAGUAAGCUGUUUUCCUGUUUAAAACGCAGGAAGAGGAAGGGCUGGGUAAGACGGGUGCCAGCCGCCGCGGUAAUACCUGCAGCUCAAGUGGUGACCGCUAUUAUUGGGCCUAAAACGUCCGUAGCCGGUUGAGUAAAUGCCUGGGUAAAUCGUGUCGCUUAACGAUACGAAUUCCGGGUAGACUGCUCAGCUUGGGACCGGGAGAAGCUAGAGGUACUCCUGGGGUAGAGGUGAAAUUCUGUAAUCCUGGGGGGACCACCAGUGGCGAAGGCGUCUUGCUAGAACGGGUCUGACGGUGAGGGACGAAACCCUGGGGCGCGAACCGGAUUAGAUACCCGGGUAGUCCCAGCUGUAAACGAUGCGAGCUAGGUGUUGGGAUGGCUACGUGCCAUUUCAGUGCCGCAGGGAAG
rnacentral:rRNA from 1 species